rnacentral:rRNA from 1 species
CGCGUCCUACGGGGGGCAGCAGUGGGGAAUAUUGCACAAUGGGGGGAACCCUGAUGCAGCGACGCCGCGUGGGUGAAGAAGUCAUUCGUGACAUAAAGCUCUAUCAGCAGGGAAGAAAAAAAUGACGGUACCUGAGUAAGAAGCACCGGCUAAAUACGUGCCAGCAGCCGCGGUAGUACGUAUGGUGCAAGCGUUAUCCGGAUUUACUGGGUGUAAAGGGAGCGUAGGCGGCGCGUUAAGUCUGAUGUGAAAACACGAGGCUCAACCACGGGAGGGCAUUGGAAACUGGCGGGCUGGAGUGGCGG